rnacentral:rRNA from 3 species
UACGGAGGGAGCUAGCGUUGUUCGGAAUUACUGGGCGUAAAGCGCACGUAGGCGGCGAUUCAAGUCAGAGGUGAAAGCCCGGGGCUCAACCCCGGAACUGCCUUUGAAACUAGAUUGCUAGAAUCCUGGAGAGGCGAGUGGAAUUCCGAGUGUAGAGGUGAAAUUCGUAGAUAUUCGGAAGAACACCAGUGGCGAAGGCGACUCGCUGGACAGGUAUUGACGCUGAGGUGCGAAAGCGUGGGGAGCAAACAGG